CGAUUUUUGACCUUCGCGAAAUUCCACUUCGUGGGUUUCGCGUAAUUUCCGGCGACGAAGAUUUUCAUAUCUCGCGCCUAUUCUGAGGAUCUUAGAACUUGACUCGUCCACUUCGUUCUGGACUGCGGAAGAGGCGAGAUCGGUCCCAUUAAAGUUCCGCGCCGUGGUGUGAUAGUUUAGGUGAAUUUUAAGAAACGUGAAAUAACUUUGAAUUUUACUAAUUUAGAUCUUUCUCAUAAUUCCCUCAGUCAGUUAGCAAGUUAGGCAAGUUUAGUGCCAAAGUGCGAUUGUGCGAAAGGCGGUUUUGAAGUGCGUGCGUAGAACCCUGGAUGCGACAGGUUCGUGGCAAGUUGCGAGGCCCGUCACACCACACCCCCAAAGUCAGCGACCGUUUUCGACCCCGCUUUCCAGCUUCGGAGUUUGGCCCGGCGAUACACGUGGGCCGGAGAGGGAAGCGAACGUCAAUACCGCGCCCUUGGCAGGGCGGCAACAGUGUAGUCCGGUUUCGUAUCGGCAACCAUACCGUGAAAGAGUGAAGGAGUGAA